rnacentral:lncRNA from 1 species
CGGCCCGCAGCGCCACACUGGAACGCCUCGCUUAAAGUAACAGGCUCCCGGGUGACAACCCCUCGCAGAAGUGUUCUAGAGUCGCUCUUCUACAAAUGCUCCAGCUCCGAUUGUAGUUUGUCUCAGUGGCCACGGGUAGAAUAUCAAGCCAUACGUGAAGAAAAAAAUGAAGAAGAAGAAGAAGAAGAAGAAAAAAAAAAAGAGUUACUAGCUUCCUCUAGAAACACAGACAACCUUUAAAAAGGAAACGGAUAAGAUCUAGACGAUAUACGAAAAUGAAAGAUGGGUGUGACUUUGUUUCGUUAAAGUUCUUGUACCUCUCUGGCUCUUAACUCCUUUUUUGAACUGGUUUGGGGUGGUGGCUGUUUUCCAGACUAUCUUUUGUUCACCAUCUUUUUUUCUCCAGAUUGCCAACUUCUUUUCUCCCUGUGUUUUUUGUCUCUCUUCCUCUUUCUGAUUCAACUUUAUUGCUUUCUUCUUUUCCUCUCGCCGGGAGACCAUGAAAGCACAACUCGGCCCUUGCAUUGAAGACUUGAGAAUAACGGGAAGGAGGUUGCCUGGAGUGUCCCAGGUUCUCCAUGACCACGUUCAGUUUUUCCCGCUGCUCACAAAGUAGAUGAUGGGGAUUAGACAGGAC